UUAAAAGCGAUGAUGGAGACGAGUAGGCGAUUGGAACGUUCAGCGAGUCUGGGGUUGGUGUGAGCCAGAUGCGGGAGAAUCGUUGAAAAUCCCUCCGGAGCUGCCGGUUGAAAUCCCAAUCAAACGGGCAAGUAAACCGAGCCGGUCUCGCCCACCGUUAGCCGGGCGCGAGUAUCGGAUAAAAUCCCGUACUUGCUUGAGAGGCCAGCCUGUGCUGGCAAACAGGGUGGUACCGCGGGAGUAUUUUAGGCUCUCGUCCCUCAA
rnacentral:ncRNA from 1 species